GGGGGGGGGGGGGCGCGGUGGCGGGGGGCCUUGGUCGCGUCGUGUCUGCUCUUGUGCACCGGUGCCUCACGGAGAGGCUGUGGUCUCCUCUGAGCCUCCGGCCUCCAUAAGACCCAAAACAGAUGACACCUCUUCCCAGUCCCCCGCGCCUUCCGAAAAGGACAAGCCGUCCAGCUGGCUGCGGACCUUGGCCGGCUCUUCCAAUAAGAGCCUGGGCUGUGUUCACCCUCGCCAGCGCCUCUCUGCUUUCCGACCCUGGUCCCCCGCAGUGUCAGCGAGUGAGAAAGAGCUCUCCCCACA
rnacentral:sRNA from 1 species